rnacentral:tRNA from 1 species
AGGUAGUUAGCUUAGUGGUAAAGCUCCUGCCUUACAAGCAGAAGACCAUUGGUUCAAUUCCAGUACUACCUA